UGAACGCUGGCGGCAGGCCUAACACAUGCAAGUCGAGCGGAUGACAGGAGCUUGCUCCUGAAUUCAGCGGCGGACGGGUGAGUAAUGCCUAGGAAUCUGCCUGGUAGUGGGGGACAACGUUUCGAAAGGAACGCUAAUACCGCAUACGUCCUACGGGAGAAGGCAGGGGACCUUCGGGCCUUGCGCUAUCAGAUGAGCCUAGGUCGGAUUAGCUAGUUGGUGAGGUAAUGGCUCACCAAGGCGACGAUCCGUAACUGGUCUGAGAGGAUGAUCAGUCACACUGGAACUGAGACACGGUCCAGACUCCUACGGGAGGCAGCAGUGGGGAAUAUUGCGCAAUGGACGAAAGUCUGACGCAGCGACGCCGCGUGUGGGAUGAAGCCUUUCGGGGCGUAAACCACUGUUGCCCGGGACGAACCUCCCCAUUCGUGGGACUGACGGUACCGGGUGAGGAAGCACCGGCUAACUCUGUGCCAGCAG
rnacentral:rRNA from 1 species